rnacentral:lncRNA from 1 species
CCUAGUUCUGCUGGAGUGGAGCUGAGAGAGGCUCUUGGGAGCUGCCUGCGUGGGCAGAGUUUGAAGGCUUAGGAUAUCUCCUGAAGGCCGGAUGGGCCAGUAGAGAUUAACGAGGCUUGAGCUGUCUUGAAAGAUGGCUGCCCUGAGAACUGGCUAGAAGAGGAGACCAAGGAGGCUGUGUGGGUCACCCUUGCAUUGGAGAUGAGGGGAGUCGUGAGAGAUCAGUGGGGAGCCCAUUGCCCUGUUGGGGAACUGCCUGGUGGAGCUUUCCCAGGGAUAUUUUAAAGAACCUACAUGGGAGAAAGCCUGCAUUUGGACAUCUUCCAGGCCAUUCAAUAGCCAAAGAGAACCACCAACAGCUUGAAUCAAAAAAAAGGCCCUCAAAAUAGGCUGAAUGAAAAGAGGUGUGAUCGAUGAAAACUGGCCGCUCCUUCUUUGCAACUCCUUCCAUUAGGUGGUGGAGUCUACGUUGCCCUCCCUUUGAUCCAGGCUGGCCACACAAAUUACUUUCACCAACAGAAUGCUGUAGAAGUGAUACUGCAUGACCUCUGAGCCCAGGCCUUAAGGGACUUUGCAGCUUCUGUUCUUGGCCUCUGGCUGCUCUGUGACUACCAUGGAAGGAGUUCCACACUAACCUCCUGUAGGGUAAGAGACACGUGGAGGCAGACUGAGCCUCCCAGCCAUCCCACUGAGGCUCCAGGCGUGCCAGUGAUGUACCUGGCUGAAGCCUGGCCCCCAGUCACCCACUGACGGCAGCUGCAAAGGUGCCCGUGAUGAGGUGAGCAGAAGCCUAGAAGAAAUUGCAGAAUCAUGAACAAAUGGAUAGCUGCCGUUUU